rnacentral:rRNA from 1 species
AAAAGUUUGAUUCUCGCUACAAAUUUCACUACUUCAUAGUUAAUACACAUGCAAGACCUUCUAUCCAGUGAGGAAAAUUAAUAUUUAAAACCUGUCUAAAAUCUAAAUCCACUUACUAAGAUCAAUAACUCUCACGCCUGCAGUGUAGAAUCCUUUAUCCAAUUAUAAAAUUAAGUCAAGGCUAUUGAAACCAGGGUUGGCUAAAUUUGUGCCAGCUGCCGCGGUUAAACAAAAAACCCCAGUGAAUUUUAGUCGGUCCAAUGAAAUUUUUAAACUAAAGAUAAAAAACAAACCCAAGAAGUCCAAUUCACCUCUAUAACUAUCCCAACUCUAUCCUAUUCCAAAUUUCAUGAAAGCUCAAAUCAAAACAAGGAUUAGAUACCCUUCUAUUCUCAGCCAUAAAUCAAUAAACCCGGGCACUACCAACGCAUGUUUAAAACCCAGAGAAUUUGGCAGUACUUCAACCCCCCAGGGGAAUCUGUACUUUAAAUCGAUACUCCGCGAACACCUAACUUUUUCUUGAUCACCUACAGCCUGUGUAUUGCCGUCGCAAGCUUACCUUAAAAGAGUAUAGUAAGCAAUCAAAUCAAACCACUCCUACGUCAGGUCAAAAUGCAGCUUAUGAAAAAGAAGAUAUGGAUUACAACAUAAACUCUACUUACUGAAUUUAUUUAUGAAAUUAAAUAAUAAAAAUGGACUUGGAAGUAAGAAAAUCUACCUAAAUUUACUGAAUUAGGAAACCUGAAGUGUGCACACAUCGCCCGUCACUCUCGCCGAAAGGUGAGAUAAGUCGUAACACAGUAGGUGUAAUGGAAAUUGCUCCUA